AGAGUUUGAUCCUGGCUCAGGAUGAACGCUAGCGACAGGCUUAACACAUGCAAGUCGAGGGGCAGCGGGGGCGUAGCAAUAUGCCUGCCGGCGACCGGCGCACGGGUGAGUAACACGUAUGUAACCUGCCCUAUGCAGGGGGAUAACCCGGAGAAAUCCGGCCUAAUACCGCGUAACACCUUAGGGGAGCAUUCUCUUGAGGUUAAAGGAGAGAUCCGGCAUAGGAUGGACAUGCGUCGCAUUAGGUAGACGGCGGGGUAACGGCCCACCGUGCCGACGAUGCGUAGGGGUUCUGAGAGGAAGGCCCCCCACACUGGUACUGAGACACGGACCAGACUCCUACGGGAGGCAGCAGUGAGGAAUAUUGGUCAAUGGCCGAGAGGCUGAACCAGCCAAGUCGCGUGAGGGAAGAAUGUCCUAAGGAUUGUAAACCUCUUUUGUCGGGGAGCAAAAAGGCUCUGCGGAGUCGUAUUGAGAGUACCCGAAGAAAAAGCAUCGGCCAACUCCGUGCCAGCAGCCGCGGUAAAACGGAGGAUGCGAGCGUUAUCCGGAUUUAUUGGGUUUAAAGGGUGCGCAGGCGGCGUGUCAAGCAAGCGGUAAAAUAGCGGGGCUCAACCCCGUCGAGCCGUUUGAACUGGCGCGCUUGAGUUCAGGCGAGGUAGGCGGAAUUCGUGGUGUAGCGGUGAAAUGCAUAGAUAUCACGAAGAACUCCGAUUGCGAAGGCAGCUUACCAGUCUGCGACUGACGCUCAGGCACGAAAGUGUGGGUAUCGAACAGGAUUAGAUACCCUGGUAGUCCACACAGUAAACGAUGAGCGCUAGGUGUCCGGGUCGCAUGAGACUUGGGUGCCCGAGCGAAAGCGUUAAGCGCUCCACCUGGGGAGUACGCCGGCAACGGUGAAACUCAAAGGAAUUGACGGGGGCCCGCACAAGCGGAGGAACAUGUGGUUUAAUUCGAUGAUACGCGAGGAACCUUACCCGGGCUCAAACGACUCAGGAAUAUAUUGGAAACGAUGUAGCCAGCAAUGGUCUGAGUCGAGGUGCUGCAUGGUUGUCGUCAGCUCGUGCCGUGAGGUGUCGGCUUAAGUGCCAUAACGAGCGCAACCCCUACCGCCAGUUGCCAACGGGUAAAGCCGGGAACUCUGGCGGGACUGCCGGCGCAAGCUGUGAGGAAGGCGGGGAUGACGUCAAAUCAGCACGGCCCUUACGUCCGGGGCGACACACGUGUUACAAUGGCAGGUACAGCGGGAAGCCACCUGGUGACAGGGAGCGGAACCCGAAAGCCUGUCUCAGUUCGGAUUGGAGUCUGCAACUCGACUCCAUGAAGCUGGAUUCGCUAGUAAUCGCGCAUCAGCCAUGGCGCGGUGAAUACGUUCCCGGGCCUUGCACACACCGCCCGUCAAG
rnacentral:rRNA from 1 species